UUUUAGCCCCGAUAGCAACGGAAAUCCUUUUUCUUUCUUUUUCAGAAAGAAAAAGAUUGGAGUGAAUAGCGGGAAAAUGG
rnacentral:sRNA from 26 species